rnacentral:lncRNA from 1 species
CCCUUCUCUCCUCCCCCUCUUUGGUGCUGAUUCAAUUCUGAAGCUUGACCUUUGACACUUUGGGGCAAGAUGUCCAGGCAGUGGGAGGCUAGGGGAGGGGUGCGUGAUUGUCACGUUGGAAAUUUAGGAUGAAAGUCAGUACGGUAAACACGUACUCAUCAUGAGCCUCCUUCCACUGGGUCUUUCAUCUGAGGAAUCUAAAAGUCCCAGACAAAUGGUAAUUAAUUUUCACAACAGCUUCCUCAGGAGGAUGGUACCAGCCAAUGGCCAGAGGGCAUUUUCCUGUGUUCUUUCCUAACCCUUCUACUCUCCCGCAGUAGGCUGGCAGCCCCAAGGGAACAAUGCCACAUGGGUAGGGGCCUAGGUCUUAGACUCCUCAGUCUAGAAGGCUUCAGGGCCAGAAUGAGGCUCCUUCCAAGUAACUUCCUGCCCCUGCUCCCUGCCCUGCUCCCCCAGAGGGUGACUAAGGAUGACUUAGACAUCCUAUUUCUUGCCUCUACUGGCCAGCUGAGGCUAAACAAUGUUAUAUGGCUCAGCAGAAACCUCGGCUCCAGGACAGCCUCUGCCCUGUCCUACCCUUUGCAUCCACACUGUGCGCAGUCACUUGCCUACCCCCCACCCUGGAGGGGAGAAGAUGCUUGAAAUGGUUUUUAUCUUUAAGCACAUUAUAGAGGAAAUAUAAACUAGUUGUGUAAAGCUCAGGAAAUACUAAAGAAUAUUUGGCUGGGCAUGGUGGUGCUCACCUUUGAUCCCAGCACUUGAGAGGCAGAACAAAUACAAACAAUAUUUCAAUAAUUCCCCUACUGCCAAGGGCACAGCAACUGAGAUCUUGUUACUUUAUUUUUGUCUAUUUGUUGCUGUUGCUAUUUUUUUUUUUUUUUUUUGUCUUUUUGUUUUGUUUGAGACAGGUCUCUCUAGGUAGCUCUGGUUAUCCUGGAAGGAACUCACUGUGUAGACCAGGCUGGCCUCAAACUCACAGAUCCUAUGGAAUGCCAGGAUUACAGUGUGCACACUGUAUUUGAGGAAAUACUAGCAUAUACUCAAAGUGGAGUUGCAGAGCUGGCUCCAUUAGCAAAGCUUUUGCUGUUUUAAUGGUGAGGAGUUGAGUUUGGAUCCCCAGCUCUCACCAAGCAUGGUGGCAUCUUGUAGUCUGAGCACUGAGGAGGCAGGAGCAGAUCCUUGGAGACUGAUUGCUGGCCUUAUCGAACUCAAGGAGCUCCAGGUUCAGUGAGAAACUGUGUCUCAAAAAAUAAGGUGUGGGGAACUAAAGGGAUGGCUCAGCAGUUAAGAACACUUCCAGAGAACCAGUUUGAUUCCCAGCACACACAUGCAGAUCCUAACUGUCUGUGACUCUGGUCCUAGGGGAUCUGAUGUCCUCUUCUGACUUUUGUAGACACCAGGCAAGCAAACGGUGCACGUAUGUGCAUUCAGGGAAAAUACUCAUACACAUAAAAAUAAAUAAAAACAAUAAGGUAGAGAAUAAUAGAAGACGCCCAAAGUGGACUCCACAUAAACAUGCACAAACACAUGCACACACACAAACAUGUACACAUGCAUAUGCUACACAUAAACAUAUGUAUGCACACAUGUAAAAACACAGACAUGUGUGCUCGAACCCACUUAUAGUAAAGCAAAGACAUGUAUAUGUACACACACACACACACACACAUACCAUUAAGCACAAUUAUACCUGCACACCCAAAUAAAAAAAGAAUAGAAAGCUAUAAAGUGAAAGUCAAAUUCUACCUUUCCAGAAGCUGUCUUCCAUAUACAAGCAUAAACAUGCACAGCAUAACACAUGUAUAAUUUAGCUCCUUUCCACCUCAUGUGAAUAUGCAUUUUCUAUGCAUUAAAAAAAAAAUCAUCGGCCAAGCCUUUUAUCAGCCACUAAUAUUUUUUUGUCUUGCUGGUAGGCUCUAGUGUACUUAACCUUUUCCUCAUUUCUGGACUUUUACUCAGGUGAGGAACAGGAAACAGCGACUGAGUCAGAAUGAGCGCUGGGAGGAGGAAGCACACCAGGCUGGCCUGGGGGCCCACCAGGCGCAGGUUCUUCCUGUCUUUUCUAGACCACUCUCCAGAAGAGGAAAAUGAGGCACAGGGGAGGUUAAGGAGGAGUCUGCUUGUGGGUUAAAAGCCAGAGUUGCAAGCACCGUUUAUCAGUGCUAAAGGCCAUGGCUGUGCAACUUAACCAAGACUUGUUAGAAAAUCCAGAUUGAGUGGUGGCACGAUGCUCGGUUGGAGAUGGGGAGAGCCCUUGUCAUUUACCUUCCCACUCACGCUAAUAGCAUUCUCUGCCAGCUAUCAGGGAUCCAGGAAACUCAGGAAGUUUCCACCACACUUAGCACAGGAGUGGGAGGCACAGGAGGCUCAUACGCAUAGGGCAUGGUAAGUGUGUCUGAUUGGAGCCCUGCUCUGGAAUACUGGAAAGUAGUUGACAGGGAUCAGACUUACGCUGACAAGCCAUAGAAACACAGCCUGGCAAUCUUACACAAGACGGUCCUCUGCAUAGUAUUGGUAGGAUCUGAAACAUGCCAGUCUUGAAAAGUAAGCAAUAAAUUAAAACAUCCAAAGGCCCAGAGCAGCAAGGGCCUAAAACUGCCAUGUCUCAUGAAGAGUGCUCAGGACGGUCUGUCACUACAGCCAGAUAGCAAGGUGAAGGCCUCGGCAGCUAGGGCCCUCAGGGGCCAGGAGCCAGGCAUUGGGUUGGAAAAUCUGGCUGGAUUGACUGUGGUCUGCACCCAGGCCUGCUGCACUAGGCUUGUAGGCAGCUGAUCAGCCCUUGGCCUUGGGUAGGAGGAGCUGGGUACAAGGGAAAACCUGCCUGGUAGGCAGAGGGCUUUGGAUCAGUGGCGCAGGGAGGGUUAAAAGAAAACAUAAGCAAAGAGCUUUUCCGCACUGCCUGAUGGUCAGUAAAUGCCGGCAAAGGACAUGUGGCUACUCUUAUUGCCAUCACUAUCCACUGUCUUCUUUGUAAGGUGAAAUACAUAUAGUUUUUCAGUCUAAUUAGAUAACAAGAGAAACACAAAAUCACCCUGCGAUUGCCGAAAACUCUGUCAACACUGGAUGUUUCCAGCCAGCCUGGUUUCUGUGCAUUGGAUUUCCUCUUCCUCGCUCAGUCUGUCCUCCUUAAUCCAUUACCCAAGCCUUUGAACAGUUGUGAUGGUCUGUGCACAUGGCUGGGUGCCCCACCUUGUAGUAUUUGCACUUCUGUAACAGCUGGAUUGGGGGGUGGGGGUGGAUCCUGGAGAGGGAUGUGUGAUUAAAUUAGAGCAUCCUUUAACAAAAAACGAUUUCAGACUCAGGAAUUAGUGUUUGAAAUACUGAUACUUGACAUUUGACCUCGGCUAAUGAACUUUAUCUCUAGGGGAUUUUGGGGAGCUUGUUUGCUUCAAUUCCCACAAUUCAGAGUGGGUAGGAGGGGAAUGCAAGUGCCCCCCUCCCUCUCUUCCUCUUACAGGGGUCCUUGUGAUGCCACCAAAAGAAGGCGUGUCCAUGGCCCAGUGUCAUCUUGAUUAGUCUGCCCACUGCUUUCUCACGUUCUCAAUACACUCAACCACUGAUUAGGCCGGAGUGGUUUUUCCGGCCUGUGAAAUUACCUGCCAUUAGUGGAAAGUGUCCCAGCCUUGUCUCUUGCCAGGUUGAGACUUCGGGCAAUUUCCUUAGAUUUCUCAACCUGUUUUGGUAAAAAGAGAGUCGUGUGUGUCUACUAGGAUUAAAGAGAAGCACGCUGCGCCCAG